rnacentral:rRNA from 1 species
UGUUUAACUACCAACAAAACGUUAUGGGGAGAAGGUAAAUGCGAUAAUCCAUAGAUUUCCUAAAUUGAAAACAAAGAAUAAUACUAUUUUUAAAUAAUAAUUUAAAAAUAAAAACUUGAAGAACUGAAACAUCUAAGUAUUCAAAGGAAAAAAUUAUACCGUUAGUACUGGUGAGGGAAUAUGGUAAUUGACUGGAGACAGAAAAAGAAAUUUAUUAUGGUACGGUCUAGCCUAUAAAAAUUAUUUGGACAACUCAAACUUUUAUUAUAUUACGUCAAUGAAUAAAAACCAAAGAAGGUAAUAGUCCUGUAGAGAUAAUUUCAAAUAAUUUUUUAAGUAAAAUGUUAUAUGUUUAAUAAUAUUUGAAAAUAGCAAAAACUUUUGCUGGCUUAAAUAUUACUUAUAAUCGAUAGUGCACUAGUAACGAAAGUGAAAGUUGAAAAAGGUUCCAUUAUUGGAGAAUUGAAGAUAGAAACUGAAAUUUCAAACCUAUUAGUGGUUAUAGCUUUUUCAUAAGUAAAAUUAUGAGGAUAAAAGUGGUAGCGUACCUUUUGCAUAAGGGUCCAACAAGUUAAUUUGUAUAGCAAGCUUAACUAAAUGAGGCGCAAAGAAAUUAAGUUUGAAAUAUAGCAAAAUAGUUAUACGAAUUAGACCCGAAACCAAAGGAUCUAACUGUGAGCAAGCUGAAGAUAAUGCAUAAUUAUUGGAAGGCUCAACCCGUGUUUGUUGCAAAAAAUUGGGAUGACUUGCAGUUUGGAGUGAAAGCUAAUCGACUUUGGUGAUAGCUGGUUUUCUGCGAAAACUAUUUAGGUAGUACGUUGUAAAGUUUGACAAAUAAGGUAAAGUACUUAUUAAUUUAGGGGAAGUUAUUAACUUCUUUGACGUUAGUAAAACUUAGAAUUAAUUUGUAAUAAAUUUAUAGCAGACAGACAUGUGACGCGAAGGCCAUGUGUCAAGAGGGAAACAGCCCAGACCAUAAGCUAAAGUCCCUAAUCAAUAUUAAGUGUAAAGGUUUUUUUUCAUAAUGAUUCAUAGGUAAGUUUGCUUAGAGGCAGCAAUCUUUUAAAGAAAGCGUAACAGCUCGCCAAUGGUAGCGAAAAAUACUGAAAAUUUUCGGGACUAAAAUAUUGAACUGAAGCUAUGGAAUACUUGUACAGGAAAUUGGUAGCAGAAUGUUUUGUAAGUUUGGAAAGAUAAGUUAACGAAAUUUAUUGAAGAUAUCAAAAGUAUGAAUGUUGGAAUAAGUAGCUUAAUCCAAUGUAAAGUAGCCACAAUGAUGGUAACUUUUUAGUUAAUCCUAAUCAUUGGCGCCGAAAGACUAAGGGUUUCGUUGUAUAGUGUGUAACAAUGAGUUAGUCGGCCCCUAAGAUUAAGGUAAAAACCGAUAUUAAUGGGUAAUUUUUUAAUAUUAAAAUACUUGAUUUAUAUAAAAAAUUAUAAAGUGACAGAUAUUUAUAAAAUUUAAAUACUUUAUACUUUUAGUAUUAUUUUUAUAUUUAUCUCUAGAAAUAACUAUAUAAAAAACAUAAUAAAUAUGUAAAAUAUAAUGAUAACCGUACUUAUAACCACCUCCGGUAGUCGGGUAGAGUAUACUAAGGCGUGUGUAUGAAAGAAGUCUAAGGAACUCGGCAAAAUGGCCCUGUAACUUCGGGAGAAAGGGUGCUUUUCCUUAUAUAGGUUUAAAAAUAUAUUUGUAUAUUUUGACCGACUUACGGCAUAAGUUUAAAGUGACACAUAAUCGAAAGUGGCGACUGUUUAAUAAAAACACAGGACAAUGCUAAAUAGAAAUAUGAUGUAUAUUGUCUGACUCCUGCCCAGUGCUUGAAAGUAAAAGUGGAUAUAUUAAAUUAUAUUUAUAUAAGCUCAAGUAAACGGCGGCUGUAACCUUGACGGUCUUAAGUAGCGAAAUCCCUAGUCAAUUAAUUGUUGACGCGCAUGAAUGGAGUAACGACUGCUUUACUGUCUCGGGCUUCAGUACAGCGAAAAUAUAAUAUUCGUGAAGAUACGACUUUCCUAUAGUGGGACGGAAAGACCCUAUGCAGCUUUACUAUACUCUUAAAGUGUUUGAAAUUUCUUGAUUAUGUAGCAUAGGUAAUAGCUUAUGAAUACUCAACGCUAGUUGAUUUAUUAGGCAAAAAUUGAAAUAUUAUCUUAUCAAAAAUUUUGGACUAAUGAAAAAGACAUUUUAUGAUUGGUAGUUUCACUGGGGCGGUGACCUCCUAAAAUGUAACGGAGGUGUACAAAGGUAAAUUUAUAAAUUAAGUGUAAUGGCUAAAAUUUGCUUGACUGAUAAAAAGACAUUUAUGUCAGGGACGCAAGUCUGUCAUAGUGAUCCA